rnacentral:rRNA from 1 species
GAAUAUGGGGGGACCAUCCUCCAAGGCUAAAUACUCCUGACUGACCGAUAGUGAACCAGUACCGUGAGGGAAAGGCGAAAAGAACCCCGGCGAGGGGAGUGAAAAAGAACCUGAAACCGUGUACGUACAAGCAGUGGGAGCCCCACCACCAAAGCAUUCUCUGGUGUUGAAGGCCCUGCAAAGCAGCAUCGCGGUGGCGGAGCGUCGUUUGCGACGCCCAACACACAAAACAAGCGGUGAAUGCUUUGGGGUGGGGUGACUGCGUACCUUUUGUAUAAUGGGUCAGCGACUUAUAUUCUGUAGCAAGGUUAACCGAAUAGGGGAGCCGGAGGGAAACCGAGUCUUAAUUAGGCGUUAAGUUGCAGGGUAUAGACCCGAAACCCGGUGAUCUAGCCAUGGGCAGGUUGAAGGUUGGGUAACACUAACUGGAGGACCGAACCGACUAAUGUUGAAAAAUUAGCGGAUGACCUGUGGCUGGGGGUGAAAGGCCAAUCAAACCGGGAGAUAGCUGGUUCUCCCCGAAAGCUAUUUAGGUAGCGCCUCGUGAAUUCAUCUCCGGGGGUAGAGCACUGUUUCGGCUAGGGGGCCAUCCCGGCUUACCAACCCGAUGCAAACUGCGAAUACCGGAGAAUGUUAUCACGGGAGACACACGGCGGGUGCUAACGUCCGUCGUGAAGAGGGAAACAACCCAGACCGCCAGCUAAGGUCCCAAAGUCAUGGUUAAGUGGGAAACGAUGUGGGAAGGCCCAGACAGCCAGGAUGUUGGCUUAGAAGCAGCCAUCAUUUAAAGAAAGCGUAAUAGCUCACUGGUCGAGUCGGCCUGCGCGGAAGAUGUAACGGGGCUAAACCAUGCACCGAAGCUGCGGCAGCGAACGUAUCACCCAAGACAACUUUACGGAGUUGACGAUUGACGGAGCGAAGCGACGUCAAAGCGUUCAUUAAAGUCGAGUUGGCUUAGGGAUACGUUCGUUGGGUAGGGGAGCGUUCUGUAAGCCUGUGAAGGUGUGUCGUGAGGCAUGCUGGAGGUAUCAGAAGUGCGAAUGCUGACAUAAGUAACGAUAAAGCGGGUGAAAAGCCCGCUCGCCGGAAGACCAAGGGUUCCUGUCCAACGUUAAUCGGGGCAGGGUGAGUCGACCCCUAAGGCGAGGCCGAAAGGCGUAGUCGAUGGGAAACGGGUUAAUAUUCCCGUACUUGGUGUUACUGCGAAGGGGGGACGGAGAAGGCUAUGUUGGCCGGGCGACGGUUGUCCCGGUUUAAGCGUGUAGGUGUGUGUUCCAGGUAAAUCCGGUUCACUUUAACACUGAGGCGUGACGACGAGGCACUACGGUGCUGAAGCAACAAAUGCCCUGCUUCCAGGAAAAGCCUCUAAGCAUCAGGUAACACGAAAUCGUACCCCAAACCGACACAGGUGGUCAGGUAGAGAAUACCAAGGCGCUUGAGAGAACUCGGGUGAAGGAACUAGGCAAAAUGGUGCCGUAACUUCGGGAGAAGGCACGCUGACACGUAGGUGAAGUGAUUUACUCAUGGAGCUGAAGUCAGUCGAAGAUACCAGCUGGCUGCAACUGUUUAUUAAAAACACAGCACUGUGCAAACACGAAAGUGGACGUAUACGGUGUGACGCCUGCCCGGUGCCGGAAGGUUAAUUGAUGGGGUCAGCGUAAGCGAAGCUCCUGAUCGAAGCCCCGGUAAACGGCGGCCGUAACUAUAACGGUCCUAAGGUAGCGAAAUUCCUUGUCGGGUAAGUUCCGACCUGCACGAAUGGCGUAAUGAUGGCCAGGCUGUCUCCACCCGAGACUCAGUGAAAUUGAACUCGCUGUGAAGAUGCAGUGUACCCGCGGCAAGACGGAAAGACCCCGUGAACCUUUACUAUAGCUUGACACUGAACAUUGAGCCUUGAUGUGUAGGAUAGGUGGGAGGCUUUGAAGUGUGGACGCCAGUCUGCAUGGAGCCGACCUUGAAAUACCACCCUUUAAUGUUUGAUGUUCUAACGUGGACCCGUAAUCCGGGUUGCGGACAGUGUCUGGUGGGUAGUUUGACUGGGGCGGUCUCCUCCUAAAGAGUAACGGAGGAGCACGAAGGUUGGCUAAUCCUGGUCGGACAUCAGGAGGUUAGUGCAAUGGCAUAAGCCAGCUUGACUGCGAGCGUGACGGCGCGAGCAGGUGCGAAAGCAGGUCAUAGUGAUCCGGUGGUUCUGAAUGGAAGGGCCAUCGCUCAACGGAUAAAAGGUACUCCGGGGAUAACAGGCUGAUACCGCCCAAGAGUUCAUAUCGACGGCGGUGUUUGGCACCUCGAUGUCGGCUCAUCACAUCCUGGGGCUGAAGUAGGUCCCAAGGGUAUGGCUGUUCGCCAUUUAAAGUGGUACGCGAGCUGGGUUUAGAACGUCGUGAGACAGUUCGGUCCCUAUCUGCCGUGGGCGCUGGAGAACUGAGGGGGGCUGCUCCUAGUACGAGAGGACCGGAGUGGACGCAUCACUGGUGUUCGGGUUGUCAUGCCAAUGGCACUGCCCGGUAGCUAAAUGCGGAAGAGAUAAG